GGCCAGGUAGCUCAGUUGGUACGAGCGUCCGCCUGAAAAGCGGAAGGUCGCCGGUUCGAUCCCGGCCCUGGCCACCG
rnacentral:tRNA from 15 species